UACAGAGGUCUCAAGCGUUGUUCGGAUUCAUUGGGCGUAAAGGGUGCGUAGGCGGCGCGGUAAGUCGGGUGUGAAAUCUCGGAGCUUAACUCCGAAACUGCAUUCGAUACUGCCGUGCUUGAGGACUGGAGAGGAGACUGGAAUUUACGGUGUAGCGGUGAAAUGCGUAGAUAUCUGGAGGAACACCGGUGGCGAAGGCGGCAUCCUGGACCGGUAUUGACGCUGAGGCGCGAAAGCUAGGGGAGCAAACGGG
rnacentral:rRNA from 1 species